rnacentral:rRNA from 1 species
ACUCGCCUGCAUGAAGUCGGAAUUGCUAGUAAUCGUGGAUCAGCAUGCCACGGUGAAUACGUUCCCGGGCCUUGUACACACCGCCCGUCACACCAUGGGAGUCGGUAACACCCGAAGCCUGUAGUCUAACCGCAAGGAGGACGCAGUCGAAGGUGGGAUUGAUGACUGGGGUGAAGUCGUAACAAGGUAUC